UCCUGUUAAAACCUCGGAUUUUUUUUUUUAAUUUUGUAAACAUCCGACCAAGUAAUAAGCUCUGACAUAUGUAUAAAUAUUUGUGUCAUUACAAGAAAAAGAUUAGAAGAGAAGUGAAGUUACCGGUGUUGUCCUGACCAUCAUCAACUUCUUCUGUUGUUAUAGGAUGCUUCUUCCUCGAGAUGUAACCUGUUUAGAACAUUUAAACAAUCUCAGUUUUUUCUCUUACGCGAAAAUCAAUUUUCAUUUAAAAAAAUAAUAAUAAUAAUAAAAAAAUAAGUAAACAGAGGCAAACUUACCCAUGUUUGCCUGAUCCUCGUUGUUGGUGUGUGUGUCACAGGAAGUGGAUCCUGAACCAGAGAGCAUCUCUGUGUGGGGCUAAUACCUUCUUCUCCAGGCUUGUUCCUUGUUGAUGCUUCGAGAACAGGAAUCGGCUACAA